rnacentral:rRNA from 1 species
GAUGAACGCUAGCGGCAGGCCUAAUACAUGCAAGUCAAGGGGCCAGCAAUGGCACCGGCGCACGGGUGCGUAACACGUACACAACAUACCUUUAAGUGGGAGAUAGCAUCGGGAAACUGGUGGUAAUACCCCAUAAUAUUGCGAUGCGGCAUCACAUUGCAAUUAAAGUUUCGACGCUUAAAGAUUGGUGUGCGUCCGAUUAGCUAGUUGGCGGGGUAACGGCCCACCAAGGCUACGAUCGGUAGGGGGUGUGAGAGCAUGACCCCCCACAUGGUACGUGAGACACGGACCCGAACCUACCUACCGGG